UACGGGGGGGGCGAGCGUUGUCCGAAGUUACUGGGCGUAAAGCGCGUGUAGGCGGAUUGUUAAGUCCGCUGUGAAAGCCCGGUGCUCAACGCCGGAGGGUCGGUGGAUACUGGCAGUCUUGAAGUGGCUAGGGGGAAAUGGAAUUACCGGUGUAGCGGUGAAAUGCGUAGAUAUCGGUAGGAACACCAGUGGCGAAGGCGGUUUCCUGGAGCCCACUUGACGCUGAGACGCGAAAGCUGGGGGAGCAAACGGG
rnacentral:rRNA from 1 species